CCUUACCCGCUUGUUCCCUGGCUUCGAACGGAACGGAUGACUUUGCCUCAGGCAUGCUAACCUUCUCCUCCAGAAGCCCACAAUUCGUAUGGGGUGAGAAUUCAUAUGGAAUGACAGAGUUUUCUUGAGUAAUUGAGCAGAGCUUCCUCUGACUUUCCUACAGAAGGACAGGAGGAAGAGAACGGAGCUAAAGCAAUAUCUGAAACAAUUAUGGCUGAGAAAUUUCCAAAAGUGAUAGAAGACUUCAAGCCACAGAUCCAAGAAAUGCUAUGGAUUCCCAUGAAGACAAAUACAAAACAUUUAGAGCCCACCAAACAUGGAAACAGAGGAAAGGGAACCUCUGCCACUCCAGUGCAGCCUGACAUUCCUGAGAUGACUCAAGACACAACUAAACAAAUGUUGUAGGUCCUUCUGCUUCUGCUAUGUGGAUGCUGCUUCAGCAUGGCUUG
rnacentral:lncRNA from 1 species